rnacentral:rRNA from 1 species
CCAGACUCCUACGGGAGGCAGCAGUGGGGAAUAUUGCACAAUGGGGGAAACCCUGAUGCAGCGACGCCGCGUGGGCGAGGAAGUAUUUCGGUAUGUAAAGCCCUAUCGGCAGGGAAGAAGAAAUGACGGUACCUGAAUAAGAAGCACCGGCUAAAUACGUGCCAGCAGCCGCGGUAAUACGUAUGGUGCAAGCGUUAUCCGGAUUUACUGGGCGUAAAGGGAGCGCAGGCGGCGCGCCAAGUCUGAUGUGAAACCCCGGGGCUCAACCCCGGGCAUGCAUUGGAAACUGGCGGGCUGGAGUGCAGGAGAGGUAAGCGGAAUUCCUGGUGUAGCGGUGAAAUGCGUAGAUAUCAGGAGGAACACCGGCGGCGAAGGCGGCUUACUGGACUGUAACUGACGUUGAGGCUCGAAGGCGUGGGGAGCAAACAGGAUUAGAUACCCCUGUA